rnacentral:lncRNA from 10 species
ACCCUUGGGCCCAAUAGAGGAACCAGUUGAAAAGGAAGGCCCGACAUAUUUCCAUCAGCAAGCAACAGGACCACCAACUCCUCCGUGUUGCCCAGCUCCCACUGAGAGUGGACAUACAGUCAUACCCAUACCCAACACGCAUCCCAGUCUGUGCGGAGCAGUCCAUCAUCAUCCUCCCUAGCUUCGGACGACAGCCGACUAAGGCCCUUUUGGAGCACCAUCACUUCUCUGUACAGUGGCCCAGGCUCAAACC